rnacentral:siRNA from 1 species
UGAAGACUCUCCUUCUUCCCCA